rnacentral:rRNA from 1 species
AUUGAACGCUGGCGGCAGGCCUAACACAUGCAAGUCGAACGAGUGGCGGACGGGUGAGUAAUAUAUGGGAAACUGCCUGAUGGAGGGGGAUAACUACUGGAAAGGGUAGCUAAUACCGCAUACAAUCAGAGGGGCCCAGAUGGGAUUAGCUAGUAGGUGGGGUAAAGGCUCACCUAGGCGACGAUCCCUAGCUGGUCUGAGAGGAUGACCAGCCACACUGGAACUGAGACACGGUCCAGACUCCUACGGGAGGCAGCAGUGGGGAAUAUUGCACAAUGGGCGCAAGCCUGAUGCAGCCAUGCCGCGUGUGUGAAGAAGGCCUUCGGGUUGUAAAGUACUUUCGGCGAGGAGGCGUUACUCGCAGAAGAAGCACCGGCUAACUCCGUGCCAGCAGCCGCGGUAAUAC